GAGGAACAGUAAAAAUGCAAGAAUCAUGAUCCAGUCUGGAAGAACAUCCUCUAAGGUCCUGUGCCUGUCAUGUCCCAUUCAUUCCACAGAAAAUGAGAUACAUGCAGUCCUUGACUACUCUGACUUGUUCUUCAAGGGUUAUGGCAACAGUGAUUGUCCCUUCUAGGAUGCCUGUGAAGUAUUUGCUGGUGGUGGUUGUAACUGUUCUCUCCAAAUGCACAGCCUGUCAGCUUCUCACGACCUGCUCGGGGAUGGAGUGUGGAAAUUGGGACACCAGCUGCAUAUUCCUACUGGACCUUGGCUCUUCUCUGGCAAGCAUCACGCAGAGCUGAUAUUUUACCCAGUCAGCUUAUACAUGUGUGGAGGAGCCGCUGACUUUGGUCACAGAGCUGUGUGCAGUUUGCAGGCCACCUGGGACACUUCUGGGCCAGAUCGGGUGGCGUGGCUGGACGCGGGGCCAGGUAGCACAUCCGCAGUGCAAAGCUUCGGAGAGAUGUCGUGCGCUGAAACACCAGGAGCACCCAGCCCAGCGCACAGCUUUCUGCUCUGCAGGCCGAGUCCUCUCCGGCUCCCGAGCGCCUGCUCCCAGGAGAGGGCAGUGGAGCCGCACACGCUCCCGUGCUGCGGCCGGCGGGAAGGCCGGCUCGCCCGGGUGCUGG